rnacentral:rRNA from 1 species
UAAGACGGAGGGUGCAAGCGUUGUUCGGAUUGACUGGGCGUAAAGGGCGUGUAGGCGGUCGGCCAAGUCUGAUGUGAAAGCCCGAGGCUCAGCCUCGGAAGUGCGUCGGAAACUAGUCGGCUGGAGCGCGAUAGAGGAGGGUGGAAUUCCUGGUGUAGCGGUGAAAUGCGUAGAUAUCAGGAGGAACACCGGCGGCGAAGGCGGCCCUCUGGAUCGUUGCUGACGCUGAGACGCGAAAGCGUGGGGAGCAAACAGGAUUAGAUACCCUGGUAGUCCACGCUGUAAACGAUGGGUACUAGGUGUUCGGGGUAUUGACCCCCUGAGUGCCGCAGCUAACGCAUUAAGUACCCCGCCUGGGGACUACGGCCGCAAGGUUA